GAUGAACGCUGGCGGCGUGCCUAAUACAUGCAAGUCGAGCGAACAGACGAGGAGCUUGCUCCUCUGACGUUAGCGGCGGGCGGGUGAGUAACACGUGGAUAACCUACCUAUAAGACUGGGAUAACUUCGGGAGACCGGAGCUAAUACCGGAUAAUAUAUUGAACCGCAUGGUUCAAUAGUGAAAGACGGUUUUGCUGUCACUUAUAGAUGGAUCCGCGCCGCAUUAGCUAGUUGGUAAGGUAACGGCUUACCAAGGCAACGAUGCGUAGCCGACCUGAGAGGGUGAUCGGCCACACUGGAACUGAGACACGGUCCAGACUCCUACGGGAGGCAGCAGUAGGGAAUCUUCCGCAAAGGGCGAAAGCCUGACGGAGCAACGCCGCGUGAGUGAUGAAGGUCUUCGGAUCGUAAAACUCUGUUAUUAGGGAAGAACAAAUGUGUAAGUAACUAUGCACGUCUUGACGGUACCUAAUCAGAAAGCCACGGCUAACUACGUG
rnacentral:rRNA from 1 species